CCAUUUUAAAUUAUUGAUAAAAUAAUUUAUUAAGAAUAUUAUAAAAUAAUAAGAAAUUUUAAUAAAAAUUAAUUAAAAUUAUAUAAAAUUAUAAUAUAUAGUACUGUUAAGGAAAUAUGAAAUAUUUUUAAAAAUUAAAUAAAAAGAAGAAAAUAUAAUUUACCUUUUGUAUUAGGGUUUAAUAAUAAAUAUUAAAUAUAUUAAAAUUCUUGAAGUUAAGUGAGCUAUUAAUAUUAUAAUAAUAUUGUUUCAAUAAUUUAUAAAAAUAAUUAUAGAGAUGAAAUUUCAAACACAUUUAAUGAUAUCUAGUUAUAAUAAAAUAAUUUUAGAUUAGUUUAUAUUAGUUAUAUAAUAUUAUAUAAUAUAAAUUAUUAUAUUAGGGAUAAGCUUAAUAUAAAUUUUUAAAAAUAAUUAAUAUAAAAAAUUAUAGCUUAAAAUUAGUUAUUAUUUGUAAUAAAAUAUUUAUGAUCAUUAAUUAAAUAAAAUAAUUAUAAAAAUUUUAUUAAUAAAAUUUAAAGGAUAAAAUAUUAAGAUAAGUAUAAGAUAUAUUAUAUAUGAUAUUUAUAUAAAAUUUAUAAUUAUAUAAUUUAAUAUUAGGAAUUCAGCAAUUUAAUUUUUUGAAUGUUUAUCAAAAACAUUUUAUUUUGGGAUUAUUAAAUAUAUUUUCUGCUCAAUGAUUAAUUUAAAUUGCCGUAGUAUUUUGACUAUGCAAAGGUAUUGAAAUAAGAUUUUAAAUGAGUGCUAAGAGAAUGAUAGAACAAAGAAUUACUUUCUAAAUUUAAAUAAUAUAAAUUUAUUUUAAAAUGAAAAAGUUUUAAUAGAUUAUUGGGACAAGAAGACCCUAUGAAUUUUUAUAAUUAUAUUAUUAUUAUAAAUUUUAUAAAAAGGAAUAUAAUAUAAUUAUUUAAUUGGGGUGAUUAAUAAAGAUUGAUAAUCUUUAGUUAUAUAAUAAGAGAUCCAUUAAUAAUGAAAAUAUGAUUAAAAUACUCUAGGGAUAACAGCAUAAUGAUUUUAGAUAGUUCAUAUUGAUAAAAUAGUUUAUGACCUCGAUGUUGGAUUAAAGUUCUUUAAUGAAGUAGAAAUUAUUUGUAAGAAGUUUGUUCAACUUUUAAAUCUUUACAUGAUCUGAGUUCAGACCGGCGUAAGCCAGGUUGGUUUAUAUCUAAUUAUAUAUAAUUUUAUUUUAGUACGAAAGGAAUUAAUAAAGAUAAUUAUUAUUUUAAAUUAUUAAAUGAUUACA
rnacentral:rRNA from 1 species